UACGAAGGGUGCUAGCGUUGUUCGGAAUCACUGGGCGUAAAGCGCGCGUAGGCGGCUAUUCAAGUCAGAGGUGAAAGCCCGUGGCUCAACCACGGAAUUGCCUUUGAAACUGUAUAGCUAGAGUGUCGGAGGGGAUAGCGGAAUUGCUAAUGUAGAGGUGAAAUUCGUAGAUAUUAGCAGGAACACCGGUGGCGAAGGCGGCUAUCUGGACGACAACUGACGCUGAGGCGCGAAAGCGCGGGGAUCAAACAGG
rnacentral:rRNA from 1 species